GACGAACGCUGGCGGCGUGCUUAACACAUGCAAGUCGAACGGCAGCACGGGUGCUUGCACCUGGUGGCGAGUGGCGAACGGGUGAGUAAUACAUCGGAACGUACCUUAUCGUGGGGGAUAACGCAGCGAAAGCUGUGCUAAUACCGCAUACGCCCUGAGGGGGAAAGCGGGGGAUCGCAAGACCUCGCGCGAUUAGAGCGGCCGAUGCCUGAUUAGCUUGUUGGUGGGGUAAAAGCCCACCAAGGCGACGAUCAGUAGCUGGUCUGAGAGGACGAUCAGCCACACUGGGACUGAGACACGGCCCAGACUCCUACGGGAGGCAGCAGUGGGGAAUUUUGGACAAUGGGGGCAACCCUGAUCCAGCAAUGCCGCGUGAGUGAAGAAGGCCUUCGGGUUGUAAAGCUCUUUUGUCAGGGAAGAAACGCCGGCUCUAACACAGUCCGGGAAUGACGGUACCUGAAGAAUAAGCACCGGCUAACUACGUGCCAGCCGCCGCGGUAA
rnacentral:rRNA from 1 species